UACGAGGAUCCAAGCGUUAUCCGGAAUCAUUGGGUUUAAAGGGUCCGUAGGCGGGAUAAUAAGUCAGUGGUGAAAGUCUGCGGCUCAACUGUAGAAUUGCCAUUGAUACUGUUGUUCUUGAGUGUUUAUGAAGUGGUUAGAAUAUGUAGUGUAGGGUGAAAUGCAUAGAUAUUACAUAGAAUACCGAUUGCGAAGGCAGAUCACUAAUAAAAUACUGACGCUGAUGGACGAAAGCGUGGGGAGCAAACAGG
rnacentral:misc_RNA from 1 species